AGUUAACGCUGGCGGCGUGCAUAACACAUGCAAGUCGAACGAGUUUAUGAGAUUACAUCAAGUAGACUAGUGGCAGACGAGUGAGUAACACGUAAGAAAUCUACCCUAGAGGUGGGGAACAACCAGUCGAAAGACCGGCUAAUACCCCAUACGAUCAUCGGUUGGCAUCCUCUGAUGAUGAAAGGUUUUUCGCUCCGGGACGAUCUUGCGGCCUAUCAGCAGUUGGCGGGGUAACGGCCCACCAAGGCUAUGACGGGUACCUGGCCUGAAAGGGCGGACGGGCACGGAGGCACUGAGACACGGGCCUCACUCC
rnacentral:rRNA from 1 species